GCGCGGAGGCCGGGCGUGGGCGCGGCAGGAGUAUUCGCGGAAGUGCAGCUUGUAGGAGGUCGCGGUGGGGUCACUAGAAAAUCGGGUCUGUGUGUGAUACGGUUUGUGGAACAGGAUGAGAGGUCUGAGGUGAUUGUGGGUUCCUGAGUGGGUGGAGGCGUGGGUUCCGUUGGGGAGAGGAAGCAAGUGGGAGCCCGUGACUGGGAGUCUGUGGGUGCUGUGGCUUUGGAGUCGGUUCUGAAGGAUUGUGGGGGUCAGUGAUUACAGCCCACAGGUCCUACUCUAGGAGCAAGAUCCAACAAGUAAAGCAAGGACGAGGUCUCAGGACCUGUGUGUGGUCAUUGUGGGGACACCAUUGACCAGAGACCAAGAUUUCAGGAAUUGAGGGGAAUUCAAGAAGAAACUAAACACACAAUUCCCCAUUACUGGCUGUUUUCCAGUAACAGAAGAAAAUGAUUAAGGACCAGUAAGUAGAGGAACACGCACAUGAAACAGGGCCAUGUUGUUACGGGAAUCGCUGACACUGGAGGAUGUGGCUGUGGACUUCACCUGGGAGGAGUGGCAGCUCCUGGCCCCCACCCAGAAGAACCUGUACCGGGAUGUGAUGUUGGAGAACUAUAGGAACCUGGUGUCAGUGGGGUACGUGGCCAGCAAGCCUGACGCACUUUCCAGAUUGGAACAAGAGGAACCGUGGACGACAGAAGAUGAAAUCCACAGUCGAUUCCAUCCAGAGAUCAAGAAAGAUGAUGGUCAUCUACAGGGGCCCUUGCAAAAUCAAAGAUGUCUAAAGAGAAUGAAACAAUGCCAUGAACAUAAUGCAUUUGGAAACAUCAUUCAUCAGAGUAAACGUAAUUUUCCCUUAAGGCAAAAUCAUGAUAUCUUUGACUUACAUGGGAAAACACUGAAAUCAAAUUUAAGUUUAGUCAACCAGGACAGAAGCCAUGAAGUAAAGAACCUCACUGAGGUUGAUGGAGAUAUGAAAUCCUUCUCCCAUACAAAGCAUGACCGGUAUUGUAUUGAAAUUAAAUUUCCUGAAUGUGGGAAUUCUGUGAAUACAAAUUCCCAAUUCAUCAAACAUCAAAGAACUCAAAAGAUAGAGAAACCCCAUGUAUGCAGUGAAUGUGGGAAAGGCUUCUUCAAAAAGUCUCGGCUCAUGGAUCAUCAGAGAGUUCACACGGGAGAGAAGCCUCAUGGGUGCAGUGUAUGUGGGAAAGCCUUUUCCAGAAAGUCCAGACUCACUGAACAUCAGAAAACUCACGUAGGAGAGAAGCGGUAUGAAUGCUCUGAAUGUGACAAGGCAUUCCCCAAGAAAUCACGGCUACUCAUGCAUCAGAAAACUCAUACAGGAGAGAAACCCUAUGUGUGCAGUGAGUGUGGAAAAGGCUUCAUCAAGAAGUCUCGGCUCAUUAACCAUCAGAGAGUUCACACAGGAGAGAAGCCUCACGGAUGCAGUCUGUGUGACAAAGCAUUCUCCAGAAAGUCCAGGCUCAUUGAACACCAGAGAACUCAUACGGGAGAAAAACCUUAUGAAUGCACUGAAUGUGACAAAACGUUCCGCUGGAAGUCACAGCUCAAUGCCCAUCAGAAGACUCACACAGGAGAGAAAUCGUAUAUAUGCAGUGAUUGCGGAAAAGGCUUCAUUCAGAAGGGCAAUCUCAUUGUACAUCAGCGAACGCAUACUGGGGAGAAGCCUUAUAUAUGCAGUGAGUGUGGGAAAGGUUUCAUUCAGAAGGGCAAUCUCCUUAUACAUCAACGAACUCACACUGGAGAGAAACCUUACGUAUGCACCGAAUGUGGGAAAGGCUUUAGCCAGAAGACAUGCCUCAUAUCACAUCAGCGAUUUCACACUGGGAAGACGCCCUUUGUGUGUACUGAGUGUGGAAAAUCCUGUUCACACAAGUCUGGUCUCAUUAACCACCAGAGAAUUCACACAGGAGAGAAACCCUAUACCUGCAGUGACUGUGGGAAGGCUUUUAGAGAUAAGUCGUGCCUUAACCGACACCGGAGAACUCAUACAGGAGAGAGGCCUUAUGGAUGUGCUGACUGUGGGAAGGCUUUCUCUCACCUGUCAUGCCUCGUUUACCAUAAGGGAAUGUUGCAUGCAAGAGAGAAAGUUGCACGUUCAGGCGCGUUGGAGAAUCCUUUUUCAGAGAGCCACAGCUCAUCCCUUUCAAAUGAUAGCAUGCAGGAGAAAGACCCUGUUAACAUGGUGUCCGUGCAGAUGCCUUCUGUAGCAGCGCAGACUUCCUUACACCUCCGUGGGCUCCUAGAGGAUAGGAACAUAGCCACUGUGGGACAGCCAGGUGCCAGGUGCGCACCAUCAGCAGAUAACAGAAUUUGCACAGGGAAACCUUUUGACUGCAGUGAAUGUGGUAGUGCCUUCACUGAUCAGUUACGUCAUAUUUUAUGUCACAAAAAGCACACAGGAAUAAAGUGUGAUACGAUCAAGGUGGAAAACCCUUGACUAAAACCUAGCUCAUUAUGUGGCUGAUAAGCGUAUAUGGAGACAAAUAGUAUAAAGACCAGGAGUAGUAUAAAGACAUAGUAUAAAGAUUGGAAAAGCCUUUGUGGAAAGAUAGACCUUACUGGUGUAUCAUAGGUCACAUCAUCAGUGAGCUCAUAGCUGGUAGAAAUACAAUGACCCUGGAAUACCCCUUCCCCAGAAAUAAGACUUCAGUAGGUGGCAGAGAGUUCACACAGAAGAACAGCUGGAAGAGCUCUGAAGGCAGUGAAUGUGGCAGGGUUGUCAGUGGAGCAUUCUGCCUCAUGAGUUGGCAGAGGAAAUCCUCCAGAAGCAAAACUCUGAACACGCCAACCGCGGAACAUCUUUGGCAAAGUACCAGAAAACACGUAAAGCAAAUAAGCCCUGUGAAAAUGAACAUUUUAGAGAUUUCUGCCACCAGUCUAACAUCAUUUUACUUCAGAUAAUGUACAUAGUGUACAUUUUAGGACACUAUACCUUGAAUCAAACUCACUGAUAUGAUGUCACUCUUUAAUUUGAAGGAGGGUAUAUACUGCACAUUAAUCGUUACAGUUAUAACAGUGCACUUCCUCCCUUUUCAGGGGGAGGGCGUGAAUCUUUUCAUUCCCACCCACGAUCAUUAUAUGGUUAGCUCUUGUGUUUCUUUGGUUCUAAAUUUAUUCAGUUUAUUUUAGGCUACUGAAGUCUGUCCUUCCACUUCAAAAGGAAAGUGAAUACAUUUGAUUCAAUAAUAUAGCAUAGUGUGUUUGGAUGUGUUUAACUUUGUAAAUAUCACCCAAAGGAACAACUGCUCAGAACUCACGAAUAACCUGUCAGCCAGGUUCUUUCCCUAGAAGAUAGUUCACAUCCGAUACACACACCACUUAGAAAACCUUUCAUCAACUGCUCCCUUUACCUAGUUCUGUUCUAGAACCUACAGAUGCUGACAGUGAUGAACUGAACAAAAGUUUUUGCUGCCUUUGAACUGGCUUUUUUUUUUUUUUAAGAUUUUAUUUAUUUAUUUAUUUAUUUGAGAGCACAAGGAGGGGAAGUAGAAGGCAGAGGGAGAGGGAGAAGCAGGGAGACUGAUGUGGGGCUGGAUCCCAGAACCCAGGGAUCAUAACCUUAGCCGAAGGCAGACACUUAACCGACUGAGCUACUGAGUUACCCCUAAACCGGCAUUUUUUUAAAAGCUGGAUUAUAUGUAUGUAGCAAUUUGACCCUCCAGCAAAUGUAAUCAAUGUAUACACCUACAUCAGUUGAAAAGGACAUACCGUAGAAGGUACAAAGUAUCCCGGUAAUUUCUUAUUCAAGGGGCAUAUUAUGGAGAGGGGGUGGGAAUGGAUUCACUUAGUUUUAGGUAUGUAAAAUAGGAUAUGGAGACUUUUUAAAAAAGAUUCAUCUCUCUCCACUUGGAUUGUAAAUGUCUGCCUGGAUAGUUUAUAAUAGAUGGUCAUAUAUUCCCAGCACAUAGCAAAAUAGAAAUGAAUUACAUAGUUUCGAAAGGUGAUUGAAAGUGAAUGCAUGACCUAAAUGAAUGACCUAACAGACUAAUCAACCAAGCGUAUUUUUGUCACUGAACAAAAGGAACUAUGGGAAAGAAAUUUCAAAGAUCAAUAUUAUCCCAAGAAACAAAAAAGAAUCCUGAAUAGAGGCCUCUGGCAAUAUAGAAGGGGCAGAUCAGCAAAGGAAUAGGAUCCACAGAAAAGCCUAAUUAAUGGAAGAAAAUGACCUCACUUUAAAAAUUGAGGACAGUGUGUUAGAUGAGUGGAGGCGAGAUUCCGUCAGAUAUCGUGGAGAAGAUCCCAGACUCUGGUCCACAGUCUGCUACCUGUUAGAGUUGCCAGCAUCUCAGGGAUCCCGGCUCUUCUGUGAUGUGAUGAACGGAGACAUGAUGUAGCAUCAUCAUCCUUAUUGUCAUGGGAAUGGGGCCCGUGUCAUCUCUUCUGUACUCAGGGUUCUUUCCCUUGGUUCAAUAAAGAUCUGUCCAGCUUAGAAGCUGGAAGUCCUGCUUAUAAGGGAAAAAAGUGGAAAUUUGCCACGGAGUGGCUGUUUUCAUAAUUGAAUUCCAAACUUGUGAGUGAAUUACUCAAUUCAAUACUACAAACACUUUAUUUUUUUAUUUUUUUAUUUUGAGCAUCUGCACUGUGCCAGGCCCUGUUGUAGACAUGGGAUACUCUGGUGAACAAAACAUGCAAAAUAAUGGCCUCUAACCGGAUGGAUGUGGGGAGAUGUUCUUCAAAGAACCAGAAAUGGAUUCUUCCUUGACUCAGUCUUCAGGUCCUCUCUGCCCCUUGUCUUGUGAAUCUGCACAUCAUAUCAUGCUGGUCGGCGUCCUCCUUAAAUCUGCAGUCAGGGCCCCUGAAUGGGCUGCCUGAUCUACCCUGAACCUGAGGACCAGUGGCUGAACUCACCUUUCCGAGGUGGCAUCCCAGGAAUUGCUGACACUGGAGGAUGUGGCUGUGGACUUCACCUGGGAGGAGUGGCAGCUCCUGGCCCCCACCCAGAAGAACCUGUACCGGGACAUGAUGUUGGAGAAUUAUAGGAAUCUGGUGUCAGUAGGAUAUCAAGCUAGCAGACCAGAUGUGCUCUCCAGGCUGGAAUGAGGGCAAGAACUGUGGGCGAUAGAAGGAGAAGUCCACAUUCUAACCCAUCCAGGCGGAGAGCAGAAGAGGAAUGGGAUGCCCAAGAUUAGUAAAAUAAAAGGCAUGAGAACCUCAGUUUAAGAUGGAAGAAAGCUGGAAUAUGAAAAGAG